UCUAGCUCCUCUAGAUAUCUCCUAAAUUACACAACACAAAAGGGUCCUCUGAAGUCACUGAAUCCCAGAAAGGCUCUACCUCUUUAGCAAGAGGCAGCACUUCUUCAACUCUGGACAGAAGAAGGAGGAAAGGUCUGCUCACUGACUCCGGAGAGAAGAAAGUGGGGACAGGAGAUGCAGGAGUCUGCUCAGGAGCUGCCUUCUUUCCAAGGCCAAUGAUAUCAUUUCCUCUAAUUUACGUGUUGAAGAAGAGCAUGCAGGACAUCCAAGAGUUUCCUCCAAGAAGAGAGAAAUGAUAUGAAAGUCCCUCAUGGCACAUUUUGGGAGCUGCCAUUCAUGAUUAUUUUUUAUGUAUGCAUUCAACAAACAUUUAAACCUAAUUCAUCAGGCACUGUGUUAAUUCUACAUACAUGUAAAAACCUUUCCAAUACAUCUCUGGCUAACAGACUCUAUCUGUAUAACCAAUCCUAUCCAUUCCAUCUAGAAAAUGUAUUGGUUGAUGCGGAGUAAAUACUGAGCCCUCAUGGUCAUUCACUGAUGCUCCUGUACACCUGGGCUCAAGAGCACUGAGACAUCAGCUUCACAAGAACCAAUUGGAUCUGUUUCCUGUCCUGCUUAUGCCAAUUAGACUUGCCAAUGUAAUUACCUAAUUUAUCUAAAC
rnacentral:lncRNA from 1 species